AACGAACGCUGGCGGCAGGCUUAACACAUGCAAGUCGAGCGCCCCGCAAGGGGAGCGGCAGACGGGUGAGUAACGCGUGGGAACGUACCUUUUGGUUCGGAACAACUCCGGGAAACUGGAGCUAAUACCGGAUAAGCCCUAACGGGGAAAGAUUUAUCGCCGAAAGAUCGGCCCGCGUCUGAUUAGCUAGUUGGUGAGGUAACGGCUCACCAAGGCGACGAUCAGUAGCUGGUCUGAGAGGAUGAUCAGCCACACUGGGACUGAGACACGGCCCAGACUCCUACGGGAGGCAGCAGUGGGGAAUAUUGGACAAUGGGCGCAAGCCUGAUCCAGCCAUGCCGCGUGAGUGAUGAAGGCCCUAGGGUUGUAAAGCUCUUUUGUCCGGGAAGAUAAUGACUGUACCGGAAGAAUAAGCCCCGGCUAACUUCGUG
rnacentral:rRNA from 1 species